GAUGAACGCUGGCGGCGUGCCUAAUACAUGCAAGUCGAGCGAAUGGAUUAAGAGCUUGCUCUUAUGAAGUUAGCGGCGGACGGGUGAGUAACACGUGGGUAACCUGCCCAUAAGACUGGGAUAACUCCGGGAAACCGGGGCUAAUACCGGAUAACAUUUUGAACCGCAUGGUUCGAAAUUGAAAGGCGGCUUCGGCUGUCACUUAUGGAUGGACCCGCGUCGCAUUAGCUAGUUGGUGAGGUAACGGCUCACCAAGGCAACGAUGCGUAGCCGACCUGAGAGGGUGAUCGGCCACACUGGGACUGAGACACGGCCCAGACUCCUACGGGAGGCAGCAGUAGGGAAUCUUCCGCAAUGGACGAAAGUCUGACGGAGCAACGCCGCGUGAGUGAUGAAGGCUUUCGGGUCGUAAAACUCUGUUGUAGGGAAGAACAAGUGCUAGUUGAAUAAGCUGGCACCUUGACGAUACCUAAUCAGAAAGCCACGGCUAACUACGUGCCAGCCGCCGCCGUAA
rnacentral:rRNA from 1 species